CGGGGCCGGCGCCGCCCGCGGGCCAGCAGGGUGCGUUGCGCCGCGCGGUGUCUGAGGCGGCGGCUCCGCUCCGCGCCCGCCGCGCCCGCUCCCGCCGGUAGCGGAGAUUUGUCCUUUCCCCCCUGCAGCGAGUGCCCUGUGUGCCACAGGAGGUGGGGACACCUGCCCAGGAGGAAUCGAGGAAUCCAGAAAAAUCAAGGAAUCCACACGGAGAACGAGGCUGCUCUGCAGUAGGAAGGAUUCUGCUGUGCUGGGGCUCGGAGCCGAUGGCAGAGAAUGUCCACGACUAACAACAUAGCGCAGGCCCGCAAGCUGGUGGAGCAGCUCCGCAUCGAGGCCGGGAUCGAGAGGAUCAAGGUCUCCAAAGCAUCCUCGGAGCUGAUGAAUUACUGUGAGCAGCAUGCUCGGAAUGACCCGCUCCUGGUGGGAGUUCCUGCUUCUGAGAAUCCCUUUAAGGACAAAAAACCCUGUAUCAUCCUAUAGCUGCGGAUCCCUCCGGAAGGGAAUCCCCAUCCAGCCUCUGGAUCCAGGCUCCUCCACACCUCCACCUGCACCCAGGGAAUUUUCUCCGUGUCGGAGUAAAUCCGUGCUCAUGCUGUGGGUGUUUUUGUAUGGCAGAAAUAGAAGUGCAGAUUCCCAGUAGUUGCUUGUACUUUGUUUAGUGCAUUUGCCAAAUAAGUUUAUUUAAAAAAAAAAAAAAAAAAAAAAAAAAAAAAAAGGAAAAAGGAGGAAAAAAAAAAAAAAAAAAAAAAAAAAAGGGGAAAAAGGAGGGGGAAAAAACACAAAAAAAGACUUUUCAGAACUUUCUAAGUGCUGGAAGGGGGAGCAGAAGGAGCUGCAGCCCAGCUCCACAAAAGCCUUUUUUUUUGGGAUUUAACCACAUGCCCAGAUCUCUCCGGCCUUUCUUUAUGGGAUGUGGUGAAGCCAGUGCCAAAAAUAGAAAUCUGGGAAUAAAAGGGCCAGGGAAACAUUGCUCCUGUUCCAGUUUUCCUGCCUUUGCCUCGCCCUCCCCUCCCUGUCUCGGGGGAAGGAGCCGGGACACCCCGGAGCCUCUGGCUCUCCCAAAUGACCCCUUUUUAUUUUUUCCCCCCCCUAAAGUCCUUAAAAAUCCACCUUUAUUUAACAAAAUCCCAAUAAUUCAUUUACUCCGAGCCCUCGUGGGAUCCUUGGCGCUCCUCGUUUUCUCCUUCUCUCUGGUCUAUCAUUCAAAUGAUCAUUAAUUAUUAUUAUUAUUCUUAUUUGCCAAACUCUGAUCUCGUUGCCAAACUCCAAUCCAGGUUUUUUCCGGACUGUCCUUAGGAAGUGCUCGGUGUCUGUGCCGUAGGCUCCUCAUCCGUCUGCAAUUCCCGGUUUGGUUUUUACUUUUUUUUUUUUUUUUUUGGGUUUGUUUUGUUGAUUUUUCCCCUUUCUCGUGUGCCAUAGCCCCGACCCCUCCUCGCACCGUGUUUAAUAUUUCGUGGAAUCGUUGUUCCCCGGUGAAUGGAUAACACAAUAAAAAAGGCUCACUUUGCA